AUUGUUUGUGGUGCAAUGCUGCAUAAAGUUUUUCCAACUAAAACAAACUUUUGAAACUUUCUUCAAGUUUCUUCUAACCAUAACAUUAAAAGAAAUGCCUUUAUGUGAAAACCGCCAUAUUGAGUAAAUAUUUACUUACUAAUCGCAAAGGCAAACAACAAAACUUAAUGUUUUUUCGAGACAAACAUAAAAGAACAGAAAACUAGCUGCCUGACACC